UUUUGUUAACACCGAGCGAAGACGUGUCACGUUCUCACUUUCGCUGUGCCGUCGGAGUUCGCGAAAUGAAAGGCUCCAACGACUCGCAGUCGACUGGGACUCUUCGGUCCGUGUUUUAAGACGGAAGAGAGUCGUGUAGAGAAAGAG